rnacentral:rRNA from 1 species
UACGUAGGGUGCGAGCGUUAAUCGGAAUUACUGGGCGUAAAGCGUGCGCAGGCGGUUUUGUAAGCCAGGUGUGAAAUCCCCGGGCUCAACCUGGGAAUGGCAUUUGGGACUGCAAGGCUGGAGUGCGGCAGAGGAGACUGGAAUUCCUGGUGUAGCAGUGAAAUGCGUAGAUAUCAGGAGGAACACCGAUGGCGAAGGCAGGUCUCUGGGCCACUACUGACGCUGAGAAGCGAAAGCAUGGGGAGCGAACAGG